rnacentral:rRNA from 1 species
UUGUCUCAAGACUAGGCCAUGCACGUCUAGUACAAACUAAAUGAUGGUGAAACUGCAAAUGGCUCAUUACAACGGUUAUGAUGUACCCGGGAGUUCCGAUGGAUAUUUCCAGUAACACUAGAACUAAUACAUGUCCCUGCGUUUAUUAGUUUCGCACAGUCCGUCGCUGAGUCAUGGUAAACAGUUGAUCGACUCGACGUCCCGGAACAGUUUCCGCCCCAUCAGCUUCGAUGGUUGGGUAUUGGCCUACCAUUACAACAACGGGUAACGAGGAAUUAGGGUUUGAUUUCGGAGAGGGAGCCUGAGAAACGGCUACCACAUCUACGGAUGGCAGCAGGCGCGCAAAUUACCCAAUGCAGACACUGUGAGGUAGUGACGAGAAAUAAUAAAGCGGGACUUCUGUUUCGCUAUUAUAAUGAGGAAUAACCAAAGGUCAUUCCGAUUAGCAACUGAUGGGAAAGUCUGGUGCCAGCAGCCGCGGUAAUACCAGCGUCAGUAGC